UUCCUGCUGUAACAACAAGUAUGCUAACUAUGGCAACAACCACUUUGGCCACUGAACUUACUUAUGUUAUCUUAGUAGGAUUGACAGAACAGCCUUUUUCAACUGCACUCACUAACUCCAGCAGCCAUGAAUUCAAAUCACUGAAAGAACAAAUGAUAAAUGCGUGUGAUAAGAUAUACAAAGCCGAAAAUCCCAAAACCUUUUCCCACUGUGAUUUGAAAAAAUUCAGUGCCUUUAAUCCCACACACGGGACAAAAACUCAAGCAACAUUGGCAGUUGUGUUCCAUGAGACUACUCCCUAUGCAGACCUCCCACAGAAUGAUGACAUUAUUCAAACCUUCGUAAAAGCUGUAAAUAAUUCCAACAACAGCUUCAACGUCAGCAUUUAUCCUGCAUCAGUCAACUUAUUAGCAAGUCUAGUUACAGAUCCAACGACCACUGCUGUAUCCACGACAUCUGAAGCUACAACUAUAGCAACCAUAAAAACAAGGGUGACAUUCAGGUCUCUUCGAAGCACAUUUACAAGUGACUUGCUGAAUCCAUUAUCUACAGCUUUUAAACAUCGAUCUGCAAUGAUAAAGGAACAGCUUUCACCUCCUUUACAAAGGAAAUUCCCUGACUCCUUCAAGUCUUUGGAAGUUGUGUCAUUCAGAAACGGAUCAGUCUACAACACCAUGUAUGUGACAUUUGCGAGCACAUCGGUUCCUAAAAGCACUCAGAUUUCAAGUCUUUUAUUCGAAGCAGCUUCAAGCGUCACCGGCUUUGACAUUGAAGGCAGCUCUAUCAACAUUAACGGCAUAUCUUCAAGUGGAGUGAGCCACAUGAUCAGUCUCGUCACCAUGUCCUGCAUGCUCAUGUUUUCAUGGGCACUGUUUUGCUAGCAAUAGCAGCAGUGCUAAUUUCCUUUUGAUUGCAAUCACAACAAGAUUGCCAUCACUGCUAUGCCGAAGGAAUCUGGUUUCUUAAUUCUUGUACAGCGUUUGGUAAACUUGCUGUCAAAUUCCACUAUAAUAUAAGCUGAACAAUAUGACAAGUAGCCUUCAGAAAAUAGUUGCACUAGAAUGUACAAAUUAAUUGUAUGUAGUGAGAAUUGUCUUGAAGCACUAUUUAUGCUAAAUAAUGUUGUUUUGUUCACUUUCAACUUGAAAUUUAAAAUCAUUUAAGAGUAUGAGAGCAGAUUUUGAAGGAAGUUAAUGGAUCAAGUGACAAAACACUCAAAACCGGCAUAUGCUAUUCAACAGAAGAAGAGAGACAUACCAUCGGCCCCAUUUUAAUUUUGCCAAUGCUAGAAAAAUGCAAAAGUCUAAAAGAUACAAAAGAUAGGACUUACUGAAAGUGGCUUUAGUGCUUUACACUUUAUUUUGUGCCUCGGGUUUUGUGUGUUCUGACAGUUUAUUACUUUUUGUAUUAUAUGUCUUCAAUUUUAUUUUCAUUUGGAUAAGCAGGAUGUGUCACAAGUUCAAGAGCUGGUAAACACACUUGAGGGUUUGAUCCAAGUAACAAGUAACGUACGUUUAGUGAGUAGCCAAGAUCUACUGAGCCAGGUUUAAGUAUUUCUGUCUGUCUGAUCAGAUUUGUUAAACUGACAGCGUCACAUUCACGCAAAGAUCAGAGAUCAAGGUGUAUAGAUGUAAUCAGAAUAAAGACCAUGCUCCAAGAUGGGUGUGUUCAGAGAGAGGAUGCCAAAAGAAGGGGGGCAGAAAAUGCAGUUGGGUUGAAAGUAACUAAGGAGGUUUACCCAGGUACAUUUCUGAGAUGCUUGUAAUAUACUUGACUAUAUUCUACUCUAUAAUCCUACUUCAAUACAAAUCAGAAGCAUAUAUUGUAGUUUAUAAUCACUACAUUUAUUUUAUGAGAUUAGUUAAUGUUACUUUUCUACUUUAUCAAUGUUACCUUUACUAGCUGCAAAAUUAAAAGGUUGUUCUCAUUAAUGGAUCAGUUAUUUGAACCCUGUGAUGAAUUAUAAAUUAAUCAGAUGUUGUUUGCUUUGCUAUGACAAUAGAAAAUGCAAAUGUGAUGUAAGGUAGGAAAAUAAUCAAUAAUAAAGAGAUACUCAAUGUGUAAAUAUAUCGCUAGGGAAACAUAGUUGGUUUUCAUCAUGUAAAAUGAACAAGGGAUGGAAGCGGGUGUAAACGUUUAUAUAAUACACCGGACAAAGGGGUUUUGUAAGUCGAAACCUCCAGGACUGAUGUACAUUUUCUAAACCUUUGUUUUAUUUUUCCCUCUGUGGCUAGCCCAGUGCAUGCUGGGAUGGGCUGAACUGGAUGAACUGGUACAUAUAAUGGGAGGAUGUAUGCUGUGUAAACACUGUCUGUUAUUCAGUCUCUGUUCAUUCUGUUGAGUGUCAGUGUCAGUGUUCUACGAUAAGUCAGCAUUCAUCCCUAAAUAAAUUAGCAAACCUUUUUUUAGUAGGCAGAAUAAAAACAGACAUUCACAAAAGAAAUA